rnacentral:siRNA from 1 species
UGUCGUACCUCUCAUGUGACCUA